UACGAAGGGGGCUAGCGUUGUUCGGAAUCACUGGGCGUAAAGCGCACGUAGGCGGCUGUGUAAGUCAGGGGUGAAAUCCCGGGGCUCAACCUCGGAACUGCCUCUGAUACAGCACAUCUUGAGUCCGGAAGAGGUGGGUGGAAUUCCUAGUGUAGAGGUGAAAUUCGUAGAUAUUAGGAAGAACACCGGUGGCGAAGGCGGCCCACUGGUCCGGUACUGACGCUGAGGUGCGAAAGCGUGGGGAGCAAACAGG
rnacentral:rRNA from 1 species